CAUAGCUUGACUAAAGACUGUUUAAGGUGAUUCUGGUGAACACUCAGGAAGAAAAGGGGAGGCAUGGAGGAAGGCUCUAUCAUCUUAGACAAUACAUCUGUCACCAUGCAUGGGAUGCUGGUAGAAACGUGGACGGUAAAGGCCAUUCUGGGGAGAUCUCAGACGGAAAUGAAGAAUGUGUUUUUGGAAGCUGGAGGAAAGGCGAUUUUCUUUGUGGAAGUGCCUCAGGCUGUGGCUGGCGUUUGAAGGGCUGCUCCACACAUAUCAAUCAUCCUUUGACAAGAUCUGGAAGGAAAAAAAAACAACAACAAAAGCCACCCCCCAAAAAGGCGACUACUGAGAACAGAAUGUCCCUUCAUAUCCAAUACGGUAUCAGCCCUGACAUCUCUUAAAUACAGGUAAGCCUCAAUUCGUGAAAUCUGAAAUCCAGAUCCAGAACAUAAUACCAGUAAGCCAAAUUCUUAUAAUGAAUUAUAUCAGUAUAACCUAUCAGUUAUGUAAAAUAUUACAUAUAGUCUCUAUAAUUAUAUACUGCUUAUUAUAAUUAUGAAUUUCAUCACUUUACUUUAACUUCAGAAAUUAACCUCCAAUUAGAAGUAGUUUUCAUUGUAUAUUUUUUCAUGUUUCUUUGCCCUAACUUCUUUAUGAGGUUAAAGAUCUAUGUACAUCAACAAGUAUAUGAACUUUAAAGUAGGGAGUCCUGUUUUAAUGUAAAAACUACCAUCCACAUCUCACAUUAUUACAAAUGAAAGAAAAAUGGAAACAUUGUUUUUUUUCAGUUUCAUUUUUGAUUAUUUUUCCCUCGGUCACUUUUAGAUAUUCAUAAAUGUCUUAAUUAUCAUGGUAUACUCCUUUGGGAAAGAAAAAGAAUCUAGCAUGUUUUAGUUCUACUCAGAAAACAGUAACUUUUUUGCCAUUCAAUCCAAUUUUCAACCACAUUAUAUAACGUAUCUGAUACAUGAGAAGUGUAAAAGGCAUUUACGAAUGUUCCUGCCAUGUUUUUCAGUGGAAUAGAAGGUCUGUGAGAGCGGGGGCAUUUUCUAUCCUGUUCUGAGACUUUAAUAGUGGUCUACAACCAUGCUACUAAUCUGGCAUGCAGUGGAAACUUAAUAAAUGUCUGCUGAAUGAUUAAACCAACACAACAAGCUUCACUUCUAAUAAAUGACAUAACAUUAGCAGAUAAUGGCUUUUUUUUUUUUUUUUUUCUGAAUUAGAGAUUGACAGAAAAUAAUAAAGUACCUACCUUUAAAUCUUUCAGGUAUCAUGGGGUUGUUAGUUUUCAGUAGUAGAAAU
rnacentral:lncRNA from 10 species